GGCACUUUGGCGGAGUGGUUAACGCGAUGGCCUGCUACUUUAAGCCUUUAAAGAGCAAGACAGCCAUUUCCUUCGGGAGCGAGUGUUCGAAUCACUCAGGUGUCG
rnacentral:tRNA from 1 species